GCAUAUCUCCAGUAUACAUUUAGGUUAUGUGUCAGUGUGAUCUCGAAAGUAGAGCGAGGAAUUGAACAUAUAAAGAAUGAGCUAGUGCACCCAACUAGCGGCACCAGCCACGUCUCCUUUUAUUCGCCAUCCUCUUCGCGUCGUCCGGCCUCCCCUGCUCCACGACCCUCUGCCUCAGGGCCUCCCGCGCCGCCGCCUUCUCUUCCGGGCCUCUUCUCUGGCGCUCGAUGCAGCCGGGGCGACCUCCUCCUCUUCCUCUCCUCCUUCCCUGCCUCCGGAUCCAGACCAGUGAAAUCUGGAGGGGAGACGAGUAAAGGGCGACUGAGGCGACGGUCGAGCAGAUGAGAGGAAGAGAGAAGGAAGAAGAGGCGACGCUCGAGCAGAUGAGAGGGAGAAAGAGGUAGGUGCAGCAAGGCGACAGACGGGAGAGGGCCGAGGGCGAGCUCCAGCGCGAGCGCGUGGACCUGUCACCCACGCCGGCGAGGUCCUCAGCCCCGAGCUGCGCCUCUACCACCGCGAAGGCGACUGCUGCGACCAUGCUCGUGCGCACACACACUGUGCCGUCUCCAGGUGCCAGUUGAAGUUACUGCUGGGCUUUAUUUCCCUCCUCUGAUUUGGUGAUGUGGGAGAAAGAAGAAGAGCAGGCAUGUUCUCUAUUUCUACAUCCAACGUCCACACGGCUAGAUCGACAGGUCUAAACUCUUGAAUACAGAAAGAGUAAGCUACUAGCAUUCCUAAUGUGCAAGUAAACCUACUGGGAUUAUGACUGCAAAAAAAAUUCAUGACAUGUGAGCAAUUCUCAAUUUAGAUACUGUGAGCUUAAAUAACAAGAGCUAAACUGUUGUGCCAUGUUCAGAAUUGGUAAUAGAAAAGAUAAUCUAAACGCACAUUCUGAAAUUAUCUAGACUCCUGCCUUUGGGGAAUUAGGUUGCUAAGCAUUACUUUGUAAAUAAAUGACAUGCUAACUUGCUGGUUCAGUUUAAAGCUAUAGGCAGGGGCUUGCGGUAGGGGGGAUAUCAUUGUGGCAGUUGAAAACCAAAACACUUAUUCAUGAGUGUAUGAUCUGGACUGCGCUUUUCUGAAAGUAUGUUACGAUCCUGCUCUUGGGAGAUUAAGCUGUUGUGGUUUUGCUUCAUACAGGGCCCGCUUUGGACCAGUGCGAGAGGUGCGACGGCCCGGGGCCCAGACUAAAAGGGGGCCCAUAGUAUAUAUGCAGUAUAUAUAUUAUAUAUUACGGAUUAGUGGAAAAAAAAGAAUGACUAACGUCCAGCCCAGGUAGCUCUGAGCCCACCCAGCAAGCAGCACGCAACCACCACUAGGGCCUGCCCAACCAAGCCCAGGCAACGCACGUUGCCCUGUCGUUCGCCUGGAAUCCAGGGAGACGCACCGACACAGGAGCACGGAGACGCAUCGACACAGCAGCACGCCGCCUGACGCCGACACCAGCGCACCGCACCGAACCUGGAGCUGAGUUUGGGAUCAAAUCAGCAAGAAUUCGGGGACUUCAUAAAUAAUUGGCAUGCUAAAACAUUGGUUGUUGUUUCAGUGGUGGGGACCAAUAAUAGAAAGAAGUUGCUUCCUUAGAUGGUUGGUUAGGUCAUGGGUGCAGCAAGGAAAGGGACACCUGAUGACGGUUCUGGACUUGAGGUCUAACAAAAAGUAUUGUUCAGUGUAGUGUUUUUCUGGUUUCUUGAUCAGUGUGUCAGAGGCCAUGAAUUCUUUUCAUGCUUGCAAAUAUUUUUUUGAUUGUAUUUGAAAAGUAUACCCCGAUUGAGAGUCUAGGAGGGAUCUUGCUGAACAAAUAUACCUGACUUCAUGAAUGUCUGUACAGUUAGUCAGAGAUGAAAUGACAAGCAGCUCUCCUGCGUCGUUCGAGAAGAAAAGAAAACAAAAGACGAGGAUUAUAUAAUCCCACUUUAUGCUUACAGUUAGUCCGAGAUUCAAGUGAUUAUUUGUGCCGUGGUCGCUACAACAAAUCAUCUAAAAUAAGCUACUAGCGUUUUUUUUAUCCAAGCUUUCUUGCUUAGAAUUAGAUAAUAUACGCCUGCUUCAUACAUAUUACUCUUUCUGAGAGGGGCAUGAUCAUCAUGAAAUCAGCAAAUUAUAUACGCAUAUGUGCUUUACUAAAUAUUAUUCUCUCUGUAUACCUUCUUUAUUUUUAUUAGAGAAACGGUUGAGAUAGUACACUCAGACUAAUGCAUUGCAUGUCUUUUUGUGCUUAAACCAGAGGCAAAAGCACUUUAAAAUAUGUUCCGCUGCCUCUUCUCCUCUUCAUUGCUCUGCUUCUUCCCCUGAUUCCUCUUUUUCGUUUUUUCUCUUUGUGGCGCCGCCGAGGAUGAGUGGAGCAGCUGCUGAAGCAGGCGCGGCGCUGGUGCGCUGCUGGCGAAGCGGUGGUCAACGGUGCCGUCGACGUUGUCCUUGGCAGAAGUUAUCCCCAUUGGCUUGUGGAUAUGCUCCUGCUGGGUCGUUCUUGUUUAUUUUCUCUAUCCAACAUCAUUGCAGGCAGGGAUCAGCUUUGGUGGCAUCCGAUGCUGGCAGGCCACGGGGUUAGAGCAGAGGAAGCUGACAUGGUGUUCGAAAUUCAGAUGGUCAUUGUGAUAGAAGAAAGUGCAUAAAGAAUGAGCAAGGAAAAGCUACAGAUUGAUAUGUCCAGGUACAAGACUCGGGCAACGGGCAGGUACAAGACUCGGGCAACAGUUAAUGGACACAAUGAAUCUGUGCUAAUAUAGCUUACUUUAUAAAGCCAUCAAUGUAUGCUAUUAUCAAGUGUUUUGAAUAUUUUAUUUUAAGCUAUAUAAGUAUUCAUUAACUUUGUUCUAAA